UACAGAGGGGGCAAGCGUUGUUCGGAAUUACUGGGCGUAAAGGGCGCGUAGGUGGCCUUCUAAGUCGAACGUGAAAUCCCUGGGCUCAACCCAGGAACUGCGUCCGAGACUGGGGGGCUUGAAUCCGGGAGAGGGAUGCGGAAUUCCAGGUGUAGCGGUGAAAUGCGUAGAUAUCUGGAGGAACACCGGUGGCGAAGGCGGCGACCUGGACCGACACUGACGCUAAUACACGAAAGCGUGGGGAGCAAACAGG
rnacentral:rRNA from 1 species